AAUCCAACCCCUCGAAACCCCGACUCCUCUUUUUCUCCUCUCUCAUGCUCGUGUCAAAGUCCCGACUCGAUCUCGAUCUCGAUCUCGAUCUCAAAGCUCGAUCUCGAUCUCGAUCUCGAUCCACCCGCGUUUCUUUCCAAGCUCCUCACGCUCAUCCCUACUCUCCUCCGCCGAAACCCUAGCUCCGGUCCUCCGCCGAAGCCCUAGCCCCUGAAGAUCAUCUGUCGGCUAGCACGAGGAGGAGGCCGAAGCCCUGAGCAGCAGAAGUUCUUUCCAACUCAGAAGUAGAGGCAUUGGCAUGGCUAAUUUAAACCUGUGCAAAAAUACCCAACUUAAGUCGAAUUCAAGUGUUCAAUGCAUUUGAGAAGCUAAUGGAUAGCAACCCGGAAAAGUUUUAUUUGUUGAAGUCACUUCCUGAUGAUGAAAAAAGAGAUUUUAUUCUCUUUAUUCUUAAGGAGUAGCUUCUAGUUUUCAGGGUUUGGUGAUUUUGAUGGAUUCUUAGCUAAUUCAAGUAAGGAGUGCUUGUCUCAUCUCAAAGGUACAAAAUUUUCAUUUUAUUAAGAAUUUUGUUCUUUUUAUUUAGUGUAUACUUGAUUAUGAUGCAUUUCUAAAAUGUAUCUUUCAUUAGGUUUGUGCAAGUCUAUUUCUUUUCAAGUAUGAAAGCACUUUAAAAAUUUCGAACCUCAUAGAGAGGCAAUUCUAUUAUAAGUAUUAUCAACUGAGACAUGAAUCAAACCAUGCGCCUUUCUUUUCCUCAGUGGCGUUGUGAGGCACCCAAAGUUCCGGGGGUGUUUUUGUGAAAUUUACCCUCUGAAUUAUUAUGACAGAAGAUACUGUUUCUGACUCUGCUCUUUCUCCUUUGUAUUCUUAUUGUGUUUGUAUAACUUACUUUCUAUGUACCUUUUCUAUCCAUUAUUCAUCUC